AGCAGCCGCGGUAAUUCCAGCUCCAAUAGCGUAUAUUAAAGUUGUUGCAGUUAAAAAGCUCGUAGUUGAAUUUCGGGAUCAAUUGAUUGGUCAUGCCUACGGUAUGUAUUAGUCAUAUUGGUUCUCACCUUCUAAUGAACCUUAAUGUCAUUCACUUGAUGUUUUGGGGAAUUAGGACUGUUACCUUGAAAAAUUAGAGUGUUUAAAGCAGGCUUACGCUUGAAUACAUUAGCAUGGAAUAAUGAAAUAGGACAUCGCAUUCUAUUUUGUUGGUUUCUAGGAUCGAUGUAAUGAUUAAUAGGGAUAGUUGGGGGCAUUAGUAUCCAAUUGUCAGAGGUGAAAUUCUUGGAUUUAUUGAAGACUAACUACUGCGAAAGCAUUUGCCAAGGAUGUUUUCAUUAAUCAAGAACGAAAGUUAGGGGAUCGAAGACGAUCAGAUACCGUCGUAGUCUUAACCAUAAACUAUGCCGACUAGGGAUCGGAUGAUGUUAAUUUUAAAUGACU
rnacentral:sRNA from 1 species